GACGAACGCUGGCGGCGUGCUUAACACAUGCAAGUCGAACGGAAAGGCCCUGCUUUUGUGGUGUGCUCGAGUGGCGAACGGGUGAGUAACACGUGAGUAACCUGCCCUUGACUUUGGUAUAACUUCAGGAAACUGGGGCUAAUACCGGAUAGGAGCUCCUGCUGCAUGGUGGGGGUUGGAAAGUUUCGGCGGUUGGGGAUGGACUCGCGGCUUAUCAGCUUGUUGGUGGGGUAGUGGCUUACCAAGGCUUUGACGGGUAGCCGGCCUGAGAGGGUGACCGGCCACAUUGGGACUGAGAUACGGACCAGACUCCUACGGGAGGCAGCAGUGGGGAAUAUUGCACAAUGGGCGGAAGCCUGAUGCAGCAACGCCGCGUGCGGGAUGACGGCCUUCGGGUUGUAAACCGCUUUCGCCUGUGACGAAGCGUGAGUGACGGUAAUGGGUAAAGAAGCACCGGCUAACUACGUG
rnacentral:rRNA from 1 species